UGGGGAAUUUUGGACAAUGGGCGAAAGCCUGAUCCAGCAAUGCCGCGUGUGUGAAGAAGGCCUUCGGGUUGUAAAGCACUUUUGUCCGGAAAGAAAUCCUUGGCUCUAAUACAGUCGGGGGAUGACGGUACCGGAAGAAUAAGCACCGGCUAACUACGUGCCAGCAGCCGCGGUAAUACGUAGGGUGCAAGCGUUAAUCGGAAUUACUGGGCGUAAAGCGUGCGCAGGCGGUUUGCUAAGACCGAUGUGAAAUCCCCGGGCUCAACCUGGGAACUGCAUUGGUGACUGGCAGGCUAGAGUAUGGCAGAGGGGGGUAGAAUUCCACGUGUAGCAGUGAAAUGCGUAGAGAUGUGGAGGAAUACCGAUGGCGAAGGCAGCCCCCUGGGCCAAUACUGACGCUCAUGCACGAAAGCGUGGGGGAGCAAACAGGAUUAGAUACCCUGGUAGUCCACGCCCUAAAACGAUGUCAACUAGUUGUUGGGGAUUCAUUUCCUUAGUAACGUAGCUAACGCGUGAAGUUGACCGCCUGGGGAGUACGGUCGCAAGAUUAAAACUCAAAUGAAUUGACGGGGUCAUAGCUGUUUCCU
rnacentral:rRNA from 1 species